UUGCGAGCUGCUGGCGCGCCGUGUGCAGCCCCAGCGCCAACAAUAGCCCGAUCAUCCCAGCAGCCGAGGUAGCCAACCGGCUUGGCCUUUGCCCUCGCUGCGCCGCCGUCGAAGUGCGCGGCCGCGGUGGAGUAGCUCUACAGGGUGGCUACACGGAGGCUGGCAGAAGCUUGUGAAGAGCCAUGACUGUGAUCGAUAGCAGCAAUCGCGAUUUUGAAUUCUUCUUUUGUUUCCCUUUGAGUUGAUGGGGGCUAGAUGUACUUCAGACAAGGCUUCAACAAGGAAGAGCGGAAGACCACUAAUACUUUUUAGUAUUGGAUGAUGUAGUGUACUAUCUAUCUAUCCAUUCAAGAAAAUUGAUGGCGAUGGAAUCCGCGUGUGUGCGUGUGUGGCUGUGCCUCUGGUCGCUCGAUGGUUUUUCGGGUUCCGUAAAGUAAGAAACUGUUGGUCCUAUUCUGAAUUCUAAUAAUGUUGAUCACCAGGGAGAGGGAGAUCAGAGGACGGAUGGAAGGGAUGGCGACAACGUUAUAUUCGAAAGGGAAUAACGCUGGAAUACCUUGCUAUUGCUACCUGUCAGAGUGCAUAAUUAUGAAGUAAAUUACUCGGCACUGCUUAGUUACCAAACUUGACAGUUGCUAAGACCUUCUGUCGACAAGAUACACAAACAUACAAUUCCAUGGUACUAUGUAGAGUAUUCAAAGAGGUCAUCUUCAUGAAGCUAGCAGAGGAUAGACAUUAG